rnacentral:rRNA from 1 species
GAGCUUGCUCCCUUAGGUCAGCGGCGGACGGGUGAGUCCCACGUGGGUAACCUGCCUGUAAGACUGGGAUAACUCCGGGAAACCGGGGCUAAUACCGGAUGCUUGAUUGAACCGCAUGGUUCAAUCAUAAAAGGUGGCUUUUAGCUACCACUUACAGAUGGACCCGCGGCGCAUUAGCUAGUUGGUGAGGUAACGGCUCACCAAGGCGACGAUGCGUAGCCGACCUGAGAGGGUGAUCGGCCACACUGGGACUGAGACACGGCCCAGACUCCUACGGGAGGCAGCAGUAGGGAAUCUUCCGCAAUGGACGAAAGUCUGACGGAGCAACGCCGCGUGAGUGAUGAAGGUUUUCGGAUCGUAAAACUCUGUUGUUAGGGAAGAACAAGUACCGUUCGAAUAGGGCGGCACCUUGACGGUACCUAACCAGAAAGCCACGGCUAACUACGUGCCAGCAGCCGCGGUAAUACGUAGGUGGCAAGCGUUGUCCGGAAUUAUUGGGCGUAAAGCGCGCGCAGGCGGUUUCUUAAGUCUGAUGUGAAAGCCCCCGGCUCAACCGGGGAGGGUCAUUGGAAACUGGGGAACUUGAGUGCAGAAGAGGAGAGUGGAAUUCCACGUGUAGCGGUGAAAUGCGUAGAGAUGUGGAGGAACACCAGUGGCGAAGGCGACUCUCUGGUCUGUAACUGACGCUGAGGCGCGAAAGCGUGGGGAGCGAACAGGAUUAGAUACCCUGGUAGUCCACGCCGCAAACGAUGAGUGCUAAGUGUUAGAGGGUUCCGCCCUUUAUGCUGCAGCAAACGCAUUAAGAACUCCGCCUGUGGAGACGGUCGCAGAAUGAAACUC